UACGUAGGGGGCAAGCGUUGUCCGGAAUUAUUGGGCGUAAAGAGCUCGUAGGCGGUUUGUCGCGUCGAAUGUGAAAACCCGGGGCUCAACCCCCGGGCCUGCAUUCGAUACGGGCAGACUAGAGUUCGGUAGGGGGAGUCUGGAAUUCCUGGUGUAGCGGUGAAAUGCGCAGAUAUCAGGAGGAACACCGGUGGCGAAGGCGGGACUCUGGGCCGAUACUGACGCUGAGGAGCGAAAGCGUGGGGAGCGAACAGG
rnacentral:rRNA from 1 species